GGGGGGGUAUUCGUUUAAAUAUUAAUUUUAGUUGUCUUAGGUUCAUUUUUGUCGUUAACUUUGUUAUUGGGUUUGAUUGCUUGGCUGUGCUCUCAAAAGUUUAAUUUUGGCUUGGGAUUUCAGUGUAUCUUUUUUUUUACAUGCGUGGGGUUCAACUUAAAUAGGAUGGUUGCAGUAUUUUGCAUUGAGUAUUUGGUCAUUCGAGACUCAGAAAUAAGUGUAAGUUUUAAUUAAGCUUGUGCCAGCAAUUGCGGUUACACAAGUGAUGCGGCUGAGGGCUUUUGGUUAGUAAUUGGUUGUUAAUGAUUUUCUUUAUGUCUGAGUUUGAGGGGUGAAAUUUUGAACUUUGUUUAAGGUUGAUUAUUGGUUGUGAAGUUGUUAAAGUCUGGUUUUAAACUAGGAUUAGAUACCCUACUAUUCUGACUGUAAAAUCUCAUGCCUGAUUAUUAAUAGAUUAUUUUCUUGAAAGUUAAAAAAUUUGGCGGUAUCUCAGUCUAUUCAGAGGAACCUGUCCCGUAAUUGAUAGCCCACGAUUUGUUUUACUUUUUCUUUUAGUUUGUAUAUCGUCGUGUUUGAGCAUUUUAUAAGAACGUGAAUGGACAAAUUUUUUUAUGAAAGGGGAUGUCAGAUCAAGGUGCAGCUUAUGUUGAAGGUGGAGGUGGGUUACGGUGAGUUUUAUUCGUGGUUUGUCUUUUUGAAUUGGGGGUGAUAAAUAGGAUUUGAUAGUAAUGUUGUUUAGAUAUUCAGCGUGAUUGGGGCUCUGGGGUAUGCACAUAUUGCCCGUCGCUUUCAUUAAGGUGAAAUAAGUCGUAACAUAGUAGGUGUACUGGAAAGUGUAUCUAGAAAGAU
rnacentral:ncRNA from 1 species